rnacentral:rRNA from 1 species
GACGAACCGUGCGAACGUUAUUCGGAAUCACUGGGCUUAAAGGGAGCGUAGGCGGGCUAUCAAGUCUGGGGUGAAAUCCCACGGCUCAACCGCGGAACUGCCUCAGAUACUGAUGGCCUCGAGGGAGAUAGGGGCAUGCGGAACUGUAGGUGGAGCGGUGAAAUGCGUUGAUAUCUACAGGAACUCCGGUGGCGAAAGCGGCGUGCUGGAUCUCUCUGACGCUGAGGCUCGAAAGCUAGGGGAGCAAACGGG